CCAUCUGGAUAUGUUUUUAUAAUACGGUUGACAAUACAUUGAUGUGUUAAAUUUCUUUUUCAUAUUGAGUAUAAUCUCUCGUUAACUAGUCCAGCUACUGUGUGAUGACAUUUGACGUCCUUCACUGAGUUAACAUUGUAACAUCAUAAUAUGAGACCAGCUUACCAGGUACAAAUUAUAACAACAUUUCUAAAGUUUCUAGAACAUCAAAAUAAUGUGUUGACUCCAGAACUAAAUAAGAUCAAUGAUGUUAUAAAGGAAUGCAGCUGUUGGCUAACAGAUACAGAUACAAACACAAAAUCAUUUAUAGACUUGAUGCAAGGAUUAGAAGAGACACAUAUGUCUUCAUUGAGGAGUUAUUCUUCUUUAUUAGAAUAUCAACGGGACACAACCCAUAGCCCAGGACCAGCUGAAUAUCUCUCUAGUACUUUACCAUAAGACAGUCACAACACAGGUGGCAGUUUUGAAAAAUCACAACAUGAAUUAACAGAUGGCAGUUCCAAAUAUGUGACCAUAGAAGAGUUCCAGUCUCUGCUACACAAGCUAGACGUCACUGACAUGACAACUGGUUCACUAGAAAGAAAAUAUAUCCAGAUAGACGAAAAUAUCAACACAGUCAAUGAUAAACUCACACGUUUUGAAGGCAAGCUAAAAUCUCAAGCAAAGAAAUCAAAACAACAAAAUAGAAGGGUAGAACAAAUAGAGAAAAACUUGGAUGUGUUGACAGAAAAAGUAGAAGAACAAUAUAACGCGACACAAAGACAUUCUCAUAACAUGAGGCAAAUGAUGACGUCAAUACAAGAGAUAAAUGAAGCUAGCUGUGACAACAAGAAACACAUAGAAGAGUUAAGUGUGGUCACUAAAGGUCUGGUCAAGACAACAAAAGAUCAUGAAACCUCUGUCCAAGAUAUAUCAGAAAGUUUGUCUAGAAUGGAUACAAAACUAACACAUGGAGAAUUAAAGACUGCAGCCAUGUGUCAAGUACUGGCUAAAAGAUUUUCACAAUUUGAGUCCUUACAAAAUGUCUUCAGU